rnacentral:sRNA from 1 species
UAUCGAAGAAGAGGGUUCCUGUCGGAAU